rnacentral:rRNA from 1 species
GUAGUUAGCCGGGGCUUCCUCACAAGGUACCGUCACUUCUUCGUCCCUUGCGACAGAGGUUUACAACCCGAAAGCCUUCUUCCCUCACGCGGCGUUGCUGGGUCAGGCUUGCGCCCAUUGCCCAAUAUUCCCCACUGCUGCCUCCCGUAGGAGUCUGGACCGUGUCUCAGUUCCAGUGUGGCCGUUCAGCCUCUCAGCUCGGCUACCCAUCGUCGACUUGGUGGGCCGUUACCCCGCCAACUAUCUAAUGGGACGCGAACCCCUCCUAAAGCGGAUUGCUCCUUUGACCCCUGAGCGAUGUCGCUCCGUGGUCUUAUGCGGUAUUAGCAACCGUUUCCGGUUGUUAUCCCCCACUCCAGGGCAGGUUGUUCACGCGUUACUCACCCGUUCGCCACUAAAGUAUCAACCGAAAUCAAUACUUCCGUUCGACUUGCAUGUGUUAGGCACGCCGCCAGCGUUCGUCCUGAGCCAUGAUCAAACUCUGA